AUGCUCUCUUGCCACAGCCGUCACCAAAUCUAUCAGUUUUGUCAGGGCUUCGAGUUUGCUGAAUGUCCCAAGACAUUCAUUAUUGGCUUCUCUGUGACUUUUGGAGGCCAAAGACCUUGCCGACCGACACGUUGUUGUUUCUACUUCAGACAGCUGAUCUCCGACACGACGCAGUGGAAGAGAAGAGCCAGAAGAUCCCGGGUGGGCAAGCCAACUCAAGCUAGCUCUAGAAUGUCCGUUCCUCAGCAAGCUCCUUGCAGGAGGUUUGCUUCUUCUGUGCUCAUUUUCCACCGACGGAACCCAACUGACAAAGAGCAGAAAGAUCCAGGAGAUUCCGAGUCCCAGAAGGACAGAGUAUGCAUCUGGAAGUUAAGCGCAGAGUUAAGGGCACCCCCUCCAUACCCUGGGCUGGUCUUGCUGGGAAAUCCAAGGCAACAUCAUGAAAACAGAUGACACACGUACUUAGGAAACCACGGUUUCAGGACAGUGCAGCUUCAGGAUGGGGGAGGAACGCCGAGCCCAGUUUUAACCUAAGUGAGAAGAAACCCUUUUUGGAGG
rnacentral:lncRNA from 12 species